GACAGAGGUGGCGAGCGUUGUUCGGAAUCACUGGGCUUAAAGGGCGAGUAGGCGGUAGGGCAAGUCUGAGGUGGAAUCCUAUGGCUCAACCAUAGAACUGCCUUGGAAACUGUUCUACUUGAGUCAGUGAGGGGAGGGCGGAAUUCCCGGUGUAGCGGUGAAAUGCGUAGAUAUCGGGAGGAAGGCCGGUGGCGAAGGCGGCCCUCUGGCGCUGUACUGACGCUGAGGCGCGAAAGCGUGGGGAGCAAACAGG
rnacentral:rRNA from 1 species